rnacentral:lncRNA from 1 species
CCGGCGUCGCUCACCUGCUUCUGGAUGUCCCGCACACGCUGCCCGUGCAGCCGCGGCGCGCUGCUGAGCUUGAACACCACCCAGGCGCGCACGUAGUAGUAGAUGUCGAAGAUGAGCGAGAGCGGCAGGAGGAAGAGGCACACGAACACCCAGCGCUGGUGGAUGAGCACGAACUCCAGCCCCUUCACGCGGACCCAGAGCAGGAAGAGCAGCGCGCACACGGCCAGCGACACGGCGGGCUCCAUGGUGGGGCCAGCGGCGCGCCGCGCGGGGGAGGGGGUGCCAGCUCGCGCCGCCUGUCACCGCCACCCGCUCCUCGCCCGCCUGCGCCCGCGCCGCCCGCAGCCCGCUCCCGGGGAGUCUUGGGGUCGCGUCGCCGCCUCGCGAUUGGCUGGGGUCGCAAAGGUUCGGUGGGCCGAGACCCGGCUGGCGACCAAUGGUGAGCCGCGCCGGAGAUCGGACCAGGAAACCGCUGCUUUUAUUGGCUGCGGGAGUCAGGCCGCUCCACCCUCUUCUCUCCGACGCGUGGGGAGGGGUGGCCGGGGACACGCGCUCUGGUGGGGUCAACUGCGCCCUGCGGUGCUGGAGGCUGUGCGGACGCGGGCGGCGGCGGUCGAGGGAUGCGGCUGCUGCCCCUGCUCCUUAAGUGGUGCCUCCUCGAGGGUCGCGUUAAGCGGUCAUGCGUUGGGUUACUUCCGACGGGUGCGGCGGGGGCUCCCCACCGCCCUGGGUCAGCCACCCUGCAGCUUGGCCCAGGAUUCCUGUCCCGGCCGGCCGGAGAGGAUGCAAACCUGGCCCUGACCUCGGCAGGUCAGGUCACUCCGUGCCCGCAAGACCACAUAAUGCACCUUUUAUUUAGUCUUGAGGCGCUUUUUGUAGAUUCAUUUGAGUUACACAGCAGUUCUUUUUGGGCGGUGGGUAGUAGUGUGAGCCCCAUUUUAUCCACGAGGAAACAUUCCAGAAGUGUGAAGACCUGUCGCUGAACUCCAAAAGGCUUUUGAGGGACAGGCUGUGGUCAGCACCCUUCCCCGUUUUCCACUUGCCUGAGGCAGAUAGGCAGGACUGGAGGGGGAAGAAGGAAGGAAGGAGUCCCAGCCAUUGCAAACGCAGUAGCGGCCACUGUGCCCUGCAGUGUCGCAAGCCCCAGGGGUGGGGUGCU